CUACGGCAAUGGAGUAACUCAAAACCGGAGACUCAGUCAGAUUUAUCAUCAAAGGUACAUUGUAUUCCCGCUCAAACAUUUCAAAUCACUGAAUCUGAUAGAUAAAUUACACAAAUGAAUCUUCGUUUUGUGAGAAAUUAUCGUUGCACCAUAUCACAACUUGAGAGUUUUGUGAGAGACGAGUGUAAAUCUGGUAAAAUUAAGAAGCUUGAUGAUGGUUUGAGAUACUUCGAUCAAUUGAUUUCAGAAAAGCCUUUGCCGUCUAAUCAUACAUUUAAUCAUGUAUUUGGUUCACUAUCCAAAAUCAAAUGCUAUUCAGAUGUCAUUUUGUUGUACAAGAAAAUGAAUUUGGUUGGGGUACAACCCAGUAUAUAUACAUUGAGCAUUUUGAUUAAUUGCUGUUGUCAAUUAGGCAAAGUUGAUCAUGGGUUUUGUUUGUUUGGGGAGGUGUUAAAGAGGGGUUAUCAUCCUGAUACUGCCACUUUUAAUACACUGAUUAAAGGGUUGUGUCUUCAACAAAAGAUUGAUUUUGCAUUCAAAGUGUUUGAUAAAAUGGCUGAGAUGGGUGUUCAACCUGAUGCUAUUACAUGUAAUACUCUUAUAUCCGGGCUUUCUAAAACUGGAAAAGUUGAUCAUGCUCUUGAGGUGAAAAACAAGAUGGUUGAAUGGAAAUGCAGCCCUACGGUUGUUACAUAUUGUGCGACUAUAGAAACACUUUGUAAAGGAGGAUUAGUUGAUGAAGCUUUGGUUCUAUUCUCUGAAAUGCUUAAAGAUCUGAAUGUUGCACCCGAUGUAGUUGUUUACACUUCUUUGAUUAACGGGCUUUUCGAUUCAGGACGGUUGGACGAGGCAAGGAGAAUCUUUGACGAGAUGGUUAGUAGAGGAAUCUCUGCGGAUGUAACAACUUAUAGCUGUAUGAUUCAUGGUCAUUGCAUACAUGGUCAAUGGGAAGAAGCAAGAAGAUAUUUUAAUGAAAUGUUGGAUCAAGGGAUUUUACCCACUACAAUAACCUUUACUAUAUUGAUAGAUUCACUUUGUAAAUAUGGUAACAUAGAUGAUGCUGUGGGGGUAUUUAGAUACAUGGAGAAGCUAAAUAUAAAACCUGAUCGGAUUACUUAUAAUUCAAUGAUCAACGGUCUAUGUUUGGCAGGUCGGUUGCAAGAUGCGGCGGAACUAUUUGACUCGAUGGUGGAUAGGGGCCUUGAACCGAAUGCUGUCAGUUGCACUACAUUAAUUGAUGGGUAUUGCAGGAAUUGUAAGCUGGAUGAAGCUAUGUUGUUAUUCAAUAAAAUGAAACAAAACGGGUUGAAACCUACAACACUUACUUACAGUAUACUCUUAGCUGGGCUAUACCGAGGUGGUAGAAUAAAGGUCGCAGAAGGUAUCUUCAAUGAGAUACAAUCAUUUGGUCAAUAUCCAAAUAAAAUUACAUUUGGUACAGUUUUAGAUAGAAUCUGCAAGAAUGGAAAAAUUGAGGAGGUAGUAGAAUUGUUUGGAUCGAUGGAUGCUUCCUUUAUCUCAGUUACAUCCCCUUGAUCCAGUUUUACGCCAGCCCUGGCCGAACUCCUUUACGUAAGUUUUGGUUUCAUGAUUGCAUCUGACAUGUGGAUUGUUGAGAGAGUAUCUAGUAGCUGCCACUGCUUUCCUAAGGGGUUACUCAAUGUUUCUGCCCAAAACCUGUCGAAGAAGAUACAAGAAGAAUGGACUGCUACACUAAGUCAUAACUUCUAAGUCAGCCGAGUAAGUUGAGUAUAAAGAAUGACAAAUCUGAUGCUUGGAAGCUGGACCUGCAUAGUUUGGCAUGUACCUGCACUUUAUCUGACAGAUUGGUGUUUGAUGCCCUACCUUGAAUGCACCGUUGUUUGUGGCUAUCAAAUAUUCUUUGGCACAAAGAAGAGUACAUCCAUGGAUAAACACCCAAUCAGUACCCAAUUGAGUGGAAAGUCUCGUUUACCAAGAUGUUUUCACUUUCUUCUUUCUAUGUUCAAGGUGGUCUAGCUGCUCUCACUAACGGCUGUGCUAAAGGCUGGAGGUGGAUUUCAGGGAUUUUUGAUUCGAGUCCAGCAUAUUUUUUACCUGAUCCUUAAGUCAGCUAGAGGAAGAAGUCGUAUGAUCAAGGAUUUAUGGCUAAUUGCUAAUCUAGCAAGCAGCGAACUAUUGAAACUGAGAAAUAAAGUGCAUUGCGACAAUGAAAAGGUCAGAUGGUUCCAAUUUAAGAUCAAAAUUUUCAGGAAUGUGCUCAAGGUUAACAUGGUUUUAUGCACAACACCUGUGAAGUCCUCAGGAUCACAGAGGGUUAAAAUGGUAGCGUCAGCUGAAUUUAGCUGGAGACCUCGAGACCCUAAUGAAGUCUUAUUAUGUUUCGUUGGGGCAUCAGUUGGCAAUCCUGGCAGAUUGCAGCGUCAUUGGGGCUCAGAAUAUUGGGCUUGGCAUCACACCAAGUUUUUCUGCAGAGACAUACGCAGUGAUUGCAUUGCUUGAAUGACCAAUGGGCAUGGCAAUGGAGUCACAAAAAGGCCUUGGUUGGACGAGAUAAGGCUAGUACAGUGAAGGCUUUUGAUGGUAAUUCGAUUCCUUGGAGAUUCAGGCAAAGAUGGUUAGCUGUGGGGAGUCAUUACGACUCUAUUCAUUAUGAGCAUGCUUUCAGGGAAAUGAACUUUGUGGCAGAUGUGGGAAGGUCUUAAACUUUAUGAGUUUUAGAAAGGCCGGAUAUGGAAUAUUACGUUUUUAAGUAAUUUAGUUCCAUGGCUUAUGUUUGAGAC